rnacentral:rRNA from 1 species
CGAACGCUGGCGGCGUGCUUAACACAUGCAAGUCGAACGAGAAAGCGGGCUUCGGCCCGUGAGUAGAGUGGCAGACGGGUGAGUAACACGUGGGUAACCUGCCCGGAGGUGGGGAAUAACUCUUCGAAAGGGGAGCUAAUACCGCAUGAUAUCUCGAGAGUUCGCUCUCGAGAUCAAGGCUAGCCUCUUCUUGAAAGCUAGCGCCACCGGAGGGGCCCGCGGCCCAUUAGCUUGUUGGUGAGGUAACGGCUCACCAAGGCUACGAUGGGUAGCCGGCCUGAGAGGGUGAACGGCCACACUGGAACUGGGACACGGUCCAGACUCCUACGGGAGGCAGCAGUGAGGAAUCUUGCGCAAUGGGCGAAAGCCUGACGCAGCGACGCCGCGUGGAGGACGAAGGCCUUCGGGUCGUAAACUCCUGUCAAGUGGGACGAAUGCAGCAGGGAUGAAUAAGUCUUGUUGUUGACGGUACCACUGAAGGAAGCCCCGGCUAACUCC